AUUGAACGCUGGCGGCAGGCCUAACACAUGCAAGUCGAACGGUAACAGGAAACAGCUUGCUGUUUCGCUGACGAGUGGCGGACGGGUGAGUAAUGUCUGGGAAACUGCCUGAUGGAGGGGGAUAACUACUGGAAACGGUAGCUAAUACCGCAUAACGUCGCAAGACCAAAGAGGGGGACCUUCGGGCCUCUUGCCAUCGGAUGUGCCCAGAUGGGAUUAGCUAGUAGGUGGGGUAACGGCUCACCUAGGCGACGAUCCCUAGCUGGUCUGAGAGGAUGACCAGCCACACUGGAACUGGGACACGGUCCAGACUCCUACGGGAGGCAGCAGUGGGGAAUAUUGCACAAUGGGCGCAAGCCUGAUGCAGCCAUGCCGCGUGUAUGAAGAAGGCCUUCGGGUUGUAAAGUACUUUCAGCGGGGAGGAAGGGAGUAAAGUUAAUACCUUUGCUCAUUGACGUUACCCGCAGAAGAAGCACCGGCUAACUCCGUG
rnacentral:rRNA from 1 species